rnacentral:rRNA from 1 species
UACGAAGGGUGCUAGCGUUGUUCGGAAUUACUGGGCGUAAAGCGCGCGUAGGCGGCUUCUCAAGUCAGGGGUGAAAUCCUUGGGCUCAACCCAAGAAUUGCCUUUGAAACUGUGAAGCUAGAGUGUCGGAGGGGAUAGCGGAAUUGCUAAUGUAGAGGUGAAAUUCGUAGAUAUUAGCAGGAACACCGGUGGCGAAGGCGGCUAUCUGGACGACAACUGACGCUGAGGCGCGAAAGCGUGGGGAUCAAACAGG